rnacentral:rRNA from 1 species
GAACGCGAAAGGGGGCAACCCCGAGUAGAGUGGCGAACGGGUGAGCAAUACAUCGGAACGUGUCCUGUAGCGGGGGACAACCUCGAGAAAUCGAGGCUAAUACCGCAUACGAUCUACGGAUGAAAGUGGGGGACCGCAAGGCCCCACACUAUAGGAGCGGCCGAUGCCGGAUUAGCUAGUUGGUGGGGUAACGGCCUACCAAGGCGACGAUCCGUAGCUGGUUUGAGAGAACGACCAGCCACACUGGGACUGAGACACGGCCCAGACUCCUACGGGAGGCAGCAGUGGGGAAUUUUGGACAAUGGGCGAAAGCCUGAUCCAGCCAUGCCGCGUGAGUGAAGAAGGCCUUCGGGUUGUAAAGCUCUUUCGGCGGGGACGAAAUUGCGCGGGGUAACAUCCCGCGUAGAUGACGGUACCCGAAGAAGAAGGACCGGCUAACUACGUG